rnacentral:sRNA from 1 species
GCCUAGCCCUGAUCGAAACGGCAUCCUUUUGUGGUGGGGUUCACCACAAAAGAUAGAGUACAGAGCAGGACAAAUG